CAAACGGGUGGGCCCUCGAAAUCCUCUGGCGGGGGGAUUCAGUCAGGAGAGGCGGAGGUGUUCGUCGAUCGAUUACAACGGACCCUUUCCAAGGCCGGGUCGGCGGCACGGUCUCUGUUUUACCUGACGCAUUUCCUCCCGCACUAAGGACGCCGCAGCCGGUUGGGUAGCUGCGCGAGUCGGCCAUGAGGGCGGGCACCGGCAGGUGACCAGUGGUGUUGCUUCGGCAGCGCCAUCGGUUGUUAGCCAGCUCGUCCGUGGCGCGACACCCGACCGAGGUUGAAUUGUUCCCGUAUGGGAACUCGCCGUCCCCUUCCCCACGAGGAGCGGGCGCUCUGGCAGGCGUAUCGCGGUGUUGCCUCGUCACUCUUCGUAGUGGCCGGUGCACCGAGGUCGCUGGUGGCCGGAAGUGAUCCGCGGGGGUGCAUGCGGCUAGCGGCGAGUAGGUCGGUCACCCACCCGACCCGUCUUGAAACACGGACCAAGGAGUCUAACAUGUGCGCGAGUCACGGGGUCUUGCUUAGGCCCAGAGGCGCAAUGAAAGUGAAGGUCGACCUCGACGUCGGCUGUGUUGGGACUCCUCGCCCUCGUGGUGGGGAAGCACCAACGACCCGUCCUCUCCGAUUUAUCGGUUGGGCGGAGUCUGAGCGUACACGUUGGGACCCGAAAGAUGGUGAACUAUGCCUGGGCAGGACGAAGCCAGAGGAAACUCUGGUGGAGGUCCGUAGCGGUUCUGACGUGCAAAUCGAUCGUCAGACCCGGGUAUAGG
rnacentral:rRNA from 1 species